UUUUUUUUAACAUCACACACUUGCUUAAAGGCUAAGAUGUUACGGGUUUGUCUCUAAAAAUAGUGCAACCAGUCUUCACUCCAGGCAAUGAAGGACCAGAUCUACUGUAAAGGGGAUUUUCACAUGCAUCUAGAUUAUAAGGUAACAAUAAAAAGACGCAUGUAAUCUCUUCUCUAAAACAGAAGAAACCAGGCAUCACGGCAUUUAAGAGGGCAAUUGUCAGGGUUUCCACAAAUGUUCUUUGUGUGGCCCAUGAGGAAGGAUGGGUAUUACUGGGUGACAAGCUGAAAGAAGUCAACACUCAAGUAGAACAGUAUGAAAGAUGUGUGCUUCUGCUUUUACCAUUUCCAGUGAUAAUGCUUCUGAGAGGCAGUGGAAGGCAGUGGUAAUGAGUUUAUAUUCUGCUCCACACCUAUCUGUGUUGAAAUCCUGGCUCUGCUAGUGGACUUUGAGUAUUACAUAACCUCUCUGUUUCUUCAUUUAUAAAACAAAGAUGAUAGGACUGGCAUCAAUCUCAUAAAAUUGUUGUUAGGAUUGAAUGAAUGAACAUAUAAAGUGCUUGAAACAGAAGCUAGGCAUAGCAAGACAUUGUAUAUGUGUUAGCUCUUAUAGUUUCAUCUCUGCAUUUUUCUCUCUUAAAUGAAUCCUCACAAUAUUAACUGUUGGCUAUGUCCUCCCUCUUAGACACUGCAGGAGCAAAAUUACGAAUCUUCAAGGGAUCCAAAUCCUUGGCUCUUAUCCUCUCAACCCGGAACAUUGGCCCUCAAUCCAAGACCAUGACUUUCAAGACAGAAUUCACACAUUCCUUCCUCUAGCCCUUCAGCCUGCCUCCUCCAGGGGAAGCUUCUUGAAGCCAGGAAGGUAUUUCCCUCCUGAAGAGCCUCCCAGAAAUGUUAAUGCUGAGUAGAAAGCUCUCUCUAAAAGAAGCAAUAUAUUGUAUGCUCACCGCUACUCUUCCCAUGUACCACCUGACUCCUAUCAUGCUCUGUGCCAAUGCCUAAGAAUCAUUUGACAAAAAUGCAGAUUCCUAAGCCUAUUCCAAGAUUCUUAUUCAAAGUUGAUGUAGGGGGCCAAGAGAGACCACAGGAUGGCCCCAAAGUGAACCCAGUUUGUGCCAGUCAGAGAUGCUUGCUCUAGAGCCAGCUGUUACACUGGGGCCAUGUCUUACUCAUCUUUGUACCUACAGCAUGAGGCACCAGGCCGAGCACAUAACAGUUGCUUAAUAAAUUACUGUUGAAUGAAAAUGUGAGAGUAAGAGGAGAAAUACUUUCAUUCAUAGAUUGGGAACAACAAUCCAUUGCCCAACAUACAGAGGAGUGCAAAACUAGCAGAGAAAUAUCAGAAACAGGCAUUUUUAAGAGGUUUUCCCCCUGAAGCAGUCCCAGGCACUGAGAAUGAGCAAGAGAAAAUUUCAGCUAUUACAUAUAAUUUUUAAGCCACCCUUUAAUCAAAACACUAAUAAUCUCUAUACCCAAGAUGAAGAGCAAACAUGGAUCAUUAUGAAAGUUGGUUAUUGAAAUCUGAUCUCAUCAUGAGUUAAUCCUAAGAUAAUUGGAGAAAUAAGCAGCCUCCCGGUGCUUGAUCUUUUCCCUCUGCUUUAUUUUACUUUUUUUAUUUUUAUUUUUUUUAUUUAUGAUAGGCAUCACAGAGAGAGAGUAGAGAGAGGCAGAGACACAGGCAGAGGGAGAAGCAGGCUCCAUGCACCGGGAGCCCAACAUGGGAUUCGAUCCCGGGUCUCCAGGAUCGCGUCCUGGGCCAAAGGCAGGUGCCAAACCGCUGCGCCACCCAGGGAUCCCCUCCCUCUGCUUUAUACUGCAACUUAUUACUUAAGGAGUAGUGCCAUUCUAUGAGAAUUUGUGAUGCUCCAAAUCUUAAUUAAUACACCAAACAGCAUUUAUCUGCUUCUUAAGAUUUAUUCAUUUAUUUUAGAGAGAGAGUGGAAGGGAGGAGACAGAGGGAGAGGGAAAGAAUUUUAAGCAGGCUCCAUGGAGCUUGAUCUCAUGACCCUCAAGAUCAUGACCUGAGUUAAAAUCAAGAGUCAGAUAUUUAAUUGACUGAGCCACCCAGGCAUCCCCCCAAAUAGCAUUUAUUUUAACCAAACCACCUUUUAAUACUGAAGAAGUCAUUCAAAUUUGUCAAAAUAUGUAGUAUCAUCACUCUUUAAAGAUUCAGCCCAUGUUCAUGAUAUCCUUCUAUCAAAAUAGAUGAGUAUCAUUAGAAUGACCAGGCUGUUACUAAAAUAUGUAUGUGAAAAAAAAUAAAUAAAUAAAAUAAAAUAAAAUAAAAUAUGUAUGUGCCCCUUCAGCAGAUUUCAUUGAAAAACAGCCUGAUCCUGAACAUCAGAGAGCCAAGUGUUCUUUCAAGUCUGCAUUGCUGGCUCUAUGUUAUUAUCUUCAACACAACUUUUCAAAUCACUUAACCAUUUUGCAUUCUGUAUAUCUAAAACCUUGGGAUCAGUGAACAAAAGUACAGAGCUUGUGAGGAUUACAUAGGAACACAGGAAAAAGAAAUAAGAUAAUGGCAAGAAAGCUUUAUCCAAUCACAGAUAAGGAGUGGUGCAAAAUAUUUCCUCACUUCACAGACAUAUGGUACUACUAAACAUCGAAAAGUUAAGGACGCCUGGGUAGCUCAGCGAUUGAGCGUCUGCCUUUGACUAUGAAUCCGGGGUCCCAAGAUCGAGUCCCACAUUGGGCUCCCCUCAGGGAGCCUGCCUCUCCCUCUGCCCAUGUGUCUGCCUUUUUCUGUGUGUGUCUCUCUUGAAUUAAAAAAAAAAAAAAAAA
rnacentral:lncRNA from 1 species